rnacentral:ncRNA from 2 species
UGAUCGAUAAGGUUAUUCGGUUCUGGUGGGGAGCAGCUACCAGAGGUAACGGGGAAAGUUCGGUGCAAAUCCGGCGCUGUCCCGCAACUGUAAACCAAUUUGAGAUGUAAUCUAAAAUCCCAAAUUGAGUGAGUCAGGAUGCCCGCCGAAAUAGAUUUACUAGU